rnacentral:misc_RNA from 1 species
CGCGCAUCGAAUCAAGGGAAGCGUGCCGGUGCAGGCAAGAGACCACCGUAAGCGUCGUUGCAACCAAAUAAGCGCCGAUUCACAUCAGCGCGACUACGCUCUCGCUGCCUAAGCGACGGCUAGUCUGUCAGACCGGGACCGCCCUCGACCCGGACCCUGGCAUCAGCUAGAGGGAUCAACCGAGGAGUUCGGUCGCGGGGCUCAUCGGGACACCAACAGCGACUGGGAUCGUCAUCCUGGCUAGUUCGCGUGACCAGGAGAUCCGAGCAGA